GUCGACCACUCGCUGCUACC
rnacentral:miRNA from 1 species